AGUUAGAAUUUAAGAACAAAAUAUUUUAUAAUGCAUAGGAAAGUGUAAUAUAAAGCUCCCUUAUCUAAAAAAGAAGGCUGUUUGAUAUAAUCUGUCAGUCUUUUGGAUAUAUGACCUACAUAUGUGGUAUUAAUCAUCGUUAAAGGGUUUUUUUGUCCAUGGUAAAACCUCUAACAAUCAUUUCUAAUCAAUCAGCUGUCUCCAUGCUGUAUACAUGUUGGUUUUCCCCUUGAAUUGGAAUUCUUGCAAAGUAUCCUGAUGAAUGCAAGACAAAAAGCUUCAGCAAAAUGUGUCAUUUUUCAGUGAUUCUCAAGUUGUGGACUACCCAACAACUAUGAAUGACCAGAAAACUAGAAGCUUCCUUUCUUGAACUGUAUUUUGCUUUUUCUCCAGGUAAUAGAUGGAACAGAAUGUCAGCCAUAUAGCAAUUCAGUAUGUGUGCGGGGACGCUGUGUCAGGACUGGCUGUGAUGGUAUAAUUGGUUCCAAGCUGCAGUAUGACAAGUGUGGAGUCUGUGGUGGAGAUAGUUCCACCUGUGUGAAAAUAUCGCGAAGUUUUACCAAGAGAAGUGUGGGUUACAGAGAGGUAACAAGAAUCCCCGCAGGAGCAACACACAUCAAAGUGCGGCAGUACAAGCCAAAGGGUCAGCAGCGGUUCACUGCCUAUUUAGCCGUUAAAAGGAAGAAUGGGGAUUACCUCUUCAAUGGCAAGUACAUGAUCUCAACUUCAGAAACAAUCAUUGACCUAAAUGGCACAGUGCUCAACUACAGUGGGUGGAGCCAGAAGGAUGAUCAAAUGCAUUCAAUGGGUUAUGGCCCUUUAAAGGAGCCACUGAUAAUUCAGAUCCUUGCCACCGAUCCUGGGAAACCACUUGACGUGCGCUACAGCUAUUUUAUUCCUAGGAAACAAUUGCCUUCAGCCAAUGAAAAUGCCAUCAAGACUCUGGCUGCACAAUCCAACCUUCUCAAGUGGGUAACAGGACCCUGGUUGUCAUGUUCCAGAACCUGUGAUACAGGCUGGCAGACCAGAACUGUUCAGUGCAAAAACGGAUAUGGGAAACUGACGAAGGGGUGCCACCUGUCCCAAAGACCCUCAGCGUUUAAACAAUGUUUUCUAAGAAAAUGUUAAUGCACUAUUGUUCAGUAAGAUUUUUUUUAUUAUGUCAUUCUGUUUGGUGUUGUCUUAAUCUAAAAUGAAAACAUACUUGGAGAAAAGGAGGGAGAUGACUGCUAGCAUGACUUGGCAUAAAGCAGACAACAAUGUCAGGUUGAGAACAACCAAAGUGAGUAAGUGCACAUUGGUACUGCACCACAAUGGGAGACCUUCAGAUGCAUUGCCCCAAACUAGUGAGAAUGGGAAAGUAGAAGAUGACACCAACCGGGAUGAUGCCUACCUCAGAUGCAUCCCUCACCUGUAUGGAAAUGAGAUCUAUGGAGCCACCCUUUCCAGAAAUACAAGCUGGUGCAUUGAUUGUACAAAUCGUUCUGACCCUCCCAAGGAAUCUGAUGUCUGAUGGUCCAGCACAAACCUGCCUUGUGUUUCAGGAUUUGUCUUGCUCUGCUUGCUUCUGACUGUUUAGUUGGACUGAUUCCAAGGUGUUCAAUUGUGAUAGUGCACAGAGCAGAGCAUUCUCACUCAUUCAUUCACGCCUGUGCACAUGAUGGUAAAGGAAGCCAGCUGGCUGGUGAAAGAGUUUCAUGUAUUCAAGAAUAGAAUGAAGAACAAUUAUGCUGAUGAGCAUGCAGCAUUGUGUGGAGCCUGGGAGGAACUUGUGCCACCAUGAUUGCAUUGUCUUGUUAAAGUGUUUAAUGAUAUUAUCUCUCUGCAAUGAUUAAAUGGCAGAGCAGAUUUGGGCCGAAUGGUCUAGUUUCUGCUCCUAUGUCUUAUGGUCCAAUACCUAAAGGAGAUGGUUAACAGUCCUAGUGGACUCUUGUAACAAAUCCUUGAAUGAAAUAUGAUACAAUUCCGCACAGUAAUAACAAAUCUGAUGCAACACAAGAACAAAGAGUAAAAUAGCAGUGCUGUUUGGAAAUGUAUGCACAAGGGGAAGCUGGUAAAAUAAUUCCAUACAACUCUAUACCCCUGAUAGAUUCAGGGCCAGACUGCCUCAUUCUAAUGCCCACCAGAACUCCCAAGAAAAGUUUCUAGCCUGGGACCUUUCACUAAAAUUUAAAUAUGUAACACAGAAAUAUGGAUUUUGUGAAACAUCCAAAUUAAUAUCAAGUUACAACUUUCACUUGAUUGAAUAUCUGAUCAAAAGUUAAAUCAUACGCCCUGACCCUAGUUAUAUUCCUUGUCUUUUGGAUUAAUAUUGCAAUAAGGCAAAUGGAACCACAGAGGAAAGAACAAGUUUGUGUUUUUUUGUCUGAAAGAGAAGUGGUUUGCUUCGUGCACAUACUUUCACAGUACUGUAUUCAAGAUAUGACAUAACCCGGCAGGAACAAGACUUUAAUCAUUAAUGUGGUGUUUCAACUGAUACAGUUUAAGGUUGCCACUUGGGAAUUAGGGGAAAAGAAAGGGAAUGGGCUCAGAGCCCGAGUUCUGAUAUUUGCUUUGCUCAAAAUGUAAGUUCAUCAGUUACCUUGAAAUCAGCGCUAACUAAAUGUGCUGUAGCACAGGAGGCAGCUAUUAAGGGGGAUUUAAAAAAUGUACAGACUUCCUACCGCCAUCCCAAAAAAAAUGUAUGCUCCAAGGCUGGAAAAGUGACAGUCUGAAUCCAAAGGGAAAAAUAUCCGAAUGAAUCUGUGGUUUGCAUCUCUGGACUUGCUGAAGGUUAGCUUCAGAGGUCAGUAGGUCAUUCAGACGAUGGGUUUACUGGCUGCUCCUCUGGUCAAUUCUGUGAUUUUAGAAAAGGACAACUGGUGUUUUGCUUUAAACUGAGUUGAACCUUAUUCAUGAUCCACACACUCACAACUUAACCGCCUACAAUUUCCAUGCCAGCAAACCAGUGCUAGGAUCUACCUAAUCAGAAAUUAUUUGCAGGCAGGAGAAUGUGCAAUUUUAUAAAUAGAGUGUUAAUUUCCGAGUUUCAGUCCCCAAUCUCAAGUGAAGCUCAGUUAUCAGGCCUAUUCUAAAUGGGUCAAAUCUCGCUGUCACCCUCCCCAAUGACUGUAUUGAUAUCCAUUCUCAGGAUGGGCUCAUUGCUGCCAAAGCCACAUUUUAAGCUAUCCCUAUUUGCCAUAAGAGAAUGGUGGUGCUGGCAGGUCUCCUAUUGUUUCCUUCAGCAGAGAAGUGUGCUAUGUCACUCAAGAGUCAACCAAUUUAGUGUGAAGUUGGAGUCAUAACAGGCUAGCUUGGGUAAUUAGAGAUAGCUUCCUUCUCUGAAGUAUGUUAUUGAUUUAAUACAUUUGUCAGAUCGUCUAGCACCUUCAUUGUCAUGUGUGCCUACCCCAACUUUACAUUUUUCCAUCUCUUAUCAACUGAAUUCAAAUUGGCAGACUAUCAAGGGGAAAUUUUGAUCUCAUUAUUUGUUUUAUUAUUCCAGAAGUCUGUCAUUAAUAACCCACUAACAUAACCACUCCACUAAAUGCACAAAGUAGUACUGAACAAUACAAGCUGAAAAGUGUCAGCUUUAAUCUUUAAUUACGCGUAAACAGUUGAUCUCAGAUCUCAGAACAGUCAUGGAUCAGAAAGGAUCAUUCAGUCCAUUGGAGAUCAUCUCUCCUUGGGCACUCACCCUCCCAAGGCUACCAUGUAACUGCAUUUUGAACUCUACUAAUAUAUUCAUCUUCCUAGCAAGUUUUUCCAAUCAUGUAUAAACCUGUAUGUAAGGAAUUUCCUCCUUAGUUCAGUGAAAAUAUGAGUACAGGUCUCAAUUUGCCCAGGCAAAGGAGAGAAAGUGUUGGCAUUUAGAAUCAGAAUGAACCUAAUUGAGUAAAUGGCCUCAAUAGAUGGCACACUCAAAAAUAAUUUAUCAGGGCAGGUUGGAAUGAGUCAGUCACCCCUCCCUGUCCUUCCUGUCUUCCGUAGUACAAUGGCCUUACACACUUCUAGUAUCACUAGUUGAUUUUUGUGUGUGCCAUUGCUGCAAAUUAUUACUUGGUUUAUGUUACACUUUUGUCUGGUACAGCAGAAGGGAAACCAACACCUUCGACCACUGUUGAUGGCAGUUUUCUGUGGAUUAGUCUCCAAUUUCAAACAAUGCUUCCGAAAACCAUGAGGCACUAAGUGCCUUUUCAUAAGACCCUGCCUAAAUGGAUUGAAUUGUUAACCAAUUUAUUUUCCAUGGAAACAGAAUUCAAACAUAACCUAAUCAGAAGGUUCAUUGGUAGUUAUGGUAUGACAUAAAACAUCAGUGUAUGUUGCUCAGGUGUUGAGGCCUAUCUCUGCUCUCAAAGGGAUCCUGACAGUAUGUGAAAUAGAGCAAAGUAUUCCUAAAUGUCUCUAUACAGAGAUGUGUUAACCAAAAUACCACCUCUUCCUUUACUCGCUGUUUAUACAAAGUUCAUAACUUUUAGAAUCUAAACUUUUUUAGUAAUGACAGAUUCAAUUUUGAAUUGGAAGUCUCCCACAGUACAGCUAAAUUAAAAAAAGAUUGCCCCCAAUCUGAACAGUAGUUACCUGGUCUCACUUAGGAAUCCUGGAAGAGAAAUUGGCUCAGCUUUCCCAGGAUAAAGUCUGGAAAUUCAACCAGAGCUCUAAUGCUUUGUUAAUAGCAUUUGUAUUGUCAGUGCUCAGAUUCAUAUAUAAUGAAUAGUCACUGAUUUAAAAUUUCGUUUAGAGGUGGUCUCAGUCAACAGGAACAUCUUUCAAGACAGCAACCAGUUCGAAAUUUUGGGUGACAUUAGAAGGACACAAAAUCAUUGACAGUAAAAACAAGAAAAUUUUGGAAAAAACCUACCUUGUCUGGCAACAUCUGUGAAGAGAGAAAUGAAUUAACAUUUUGAGUCUCAUACUGACUCUUCAGAACUGGACAGAGUUGGAAAAUUGUUGUUAAUAGAAUUGUUGCAUGCUGUAGACAGAGGAGGGGGUGGAGGACCAAGUUAAACAGAUCGUGAAAGUACUCAGGGCCAAAGACAAGGAAGUUGCUAAUAGCAGUGAUGGAAAGAUAAAGAUGUAAAAAGGGUUUAAUGAAGGUAUGAAAAGAGAAAAAUGGGUCCUCCCUGUCGACAGCCUGUCUAGCUGUUAAUCACCCUGUGGAUCCUUCCAUUACUUCACACUAUUCUCAAUGGGAAGAGUUUGAGGAUACAAUAACAACAACAUCCAGAAGGUGUCUAUUGCUUUCAAGGAAGAGAAGAAGGGAAGGGGAAAAGCUGAAAAGGACAGGAAAACAAAUCAGCUAUUUAGAAUUUGACAUUUUUAAUGUUAUUUGAUUGCCAAUAGGUCAGGUAUACAUUUGAUUCUUUAGCUUAUUGUUACACAAAAGUCAAAAUUAUUUAUCGUUUAACAUUUAAACAUUCAUUUUCCUGUGGAAACUGUCUAGUGACACAUUUGGCACAUGUUAUAAUAGGGCAGCUCUAAUCCCAGCAAAGACCAUAUGAUCCCAAGUAGGACAAAAAACUCCUUCUAUUCUCAGGGGACAGUAUAAACUGCCAAUUCCAAACCCAGUAUGUUGGCCCAGAUAUGAGGAAUAAGGUGAGAUGAUGGAAAAAGGGGAAGAGUGCUAUUGGUCUCCCUUUCGAUCCUAAAUUCACUCCUGGAGUGACUUGAGCCACACGAGAACAAAGGGAUCCUUCUUGCCCACUGCAUGGUCCUAGGAGAAGCCAUAGAGUGGGUUGGGCUUGUCCAUUCAUUAAAUAAAAUGGUAUUAUUCUGAAUUCUACCAUGUGUACCACCCUUAUUCAUUUACUCAGCUGGGCCAAUGGAAUCAAAAUGACCAGAAACCCAUUCUGCAUCUUCAGUUCUAUCAUUCCCUAUUGAACUGGGGAAUCGAGGAGAUAAUCCUUUUCUACUAUGUAUAGAUUUUAAUUGGGUCUCCAUUAUGAGGGAGAAAACAUUCCAAUGUAAAUUUAAAUUGUGAAAAUGUUUAAGGCACAGCACUGAAAUAAUUUAUUUGUGUUAGUACAACUGGUGUGAAUUUGAUGUAACAGUUUUAUUUAUUGUUAUUUAAUAUGGAGAACACCCAUCAUGCAAUUUUUUUUGAAAAAAGAAUUGCUACUGUGUUCUAUUAUACAACUGUUUAAUUUAUGCUUCACUCCUAAGGUGAAAGUUCACUAUAUUUUUUAAAUAUGUAUGUUUACGUAAUGUAUAGCACUGGUUGCUUUGUGUACUGUUGCAUUGUGCUCUUUCCUUGUGUAAUUAUUCAGAUGUUUGCAUUCCUCAUGAGGGAAGUUGCGCUUGUCUUUUUUAAGAAAAAUUAUUAAUUGACUGAGUCAACAUGUCAAAAGCAUUUUAGUACUUGUUUUAAAAGACGUAGCAGUUGUGUACUGCAUAUUAAUCAUGUCUCGAACAAAAAUGCAAACAUUUGCGGGAUUACAGGGACAGGACAGGGGACUGGGACUAGCUGAUUUACUCUCACAGAGUGCUGACACAGAUCCAACAGGCUUCCUUCUGUGAUGUAACCAGUCUGUAAUUCUAAGAAGUACUUUUAUCAAUUAUUUUAAGCACAUCAGUAAUAUUCUGUAACAUACUGUAACAAUAAUCAUGUUGUCUGUAUAACUAAUGCUAAAAUUCACUUUUGUAAUGUGUGUAAAUUAUAUAUUCAAAAUGCAAUACCACAGUCCAUAAUUAA